CUCUCUCCCACUCCUCUCCCUCCUUGUUUUUCAUGACGGGCCAGAUAUAGAGGGGAGAACAGAGGACAACACUGCAGGACAAGGACAAACUCAUCAGUCGUCUCCAGGAUUGUCUCACUAUCUGCCAGACAGCAGUGUGUCUGUCACUUCCAGCCAGUCUUGUGUUCCUCUGGUGUGGAAGAGGUAUUGAUCUGGAAUCAGAGUCCUCCUCUGUCCUCCUCCAGGCUCAGGAUGAGACACGGGGCCGUGUCCCAACAUGACAUCCUAUUCUCUCCUACCUCGUCUCACUUCCUCUCCUUUUGCUCUAGAUAAGAACAGGGUGCCAUUUGGCACGGAGCCUGAGCCACACAGUGAUGAACAAAACCUCUGUGGUGAUUCUCUCCUCCAAUCAGCAUCAGGGGGAAAGAGUUGUAGAGGUUCUGUUGUGACAACGAGGGAUGGCAGGGUAGAGGUUCUGUUGUGACAACGAGGGAUGGCAGGGUAGAGGUUCUGUUGUGACAACGAGGGAUGGCAGGGUAGAGGUUCUGUUGUGACAACGAGGGAUGGCAGGGUAGAGGUUCUGUUGUGACACAACGAGGGAUGGCAGGGUAGAGGUUCUGUUGUGACACAACGAGGGAUGGCAGGGUAGAGGUUCUGUUGUGACAACAAGGGAUGGCAGGGUAGAGGUUCUGUUGUGACAACAAGGGAUGGCAGGGUAGAGGUUCUGUUGUGACAACGAGGGAUGGCAGGGUAGAGGUUCUGUUGUGACAACGAGGGAUGGCAGGGUAGAGGUUCUGUUGUGACACAACAAGGGAUGGCAGGGUAGAGGUUCUGUUGUGACAACAAGGGAUGGCAGGGUAGAGGUUCUGUUGUGACAACGAGGGAUGGCAGGGUCUCUACAUACUUUCUCUCUCCACGCUCUAUUACCCAGCGAAGUUAAAGCUCAGUGUUUCACUUCCUGACUCUCCCUCUCCUGGGCCCUUGGCUGGUUAGCUAGGUGUUGUGGUUGGGGAGACUCUUCCAAACCUUAACCAUAAACAGUCAAAAUUAAUUCCUGAACUUAACCAUCGAGUUUUGAAGUUUAUGGACAAGUGUUCUGAAGUGAGACCGUGAGAAAUAUAUACAUUUAAAAACCUUUUACCCCUUUUGCCCACAAUCUGGUGAUAUCUGGUAGUUAGUCUUGUCCCAUCGCUGCAACUCCCCUACGGACUCUGGAGAUGCGGAGGUCGAGAGCCGUGCGUCCUCCGAUACACGACCCUGCCAAGCCACACUGCUUCUUGACACGCUGUUCGCUUCACCCGGAAACCAGCCGCACCAAUGUGUCGGAGGAAACAC